AAGGGUAGAGCUCAGUGGUAGAGCGUAUGCUUAGCAUGCAUGAGGGCCUGGGUUCAAUCCCCAGUACCUCCA
rnacentral:tRNA from 1 species